rnacentral:rRNA from 1 species
AGAGUUUGAUCCUGGCUCAGAUUGAACGCUGGCGGCAUGCCUUACACAUGCAAGUCGAACGGUAGAGGGGCAACCCUUGAGAGUGGCGAACGGGUGAGUAAUAUAUCGGAACGUGCCCAGUCGUGGGGGAUAACGCAGCGAAAGCUGCGCUAAUACCGCAUACGAUCUAAGGAUGAAAGCGGGGGAUCGCAAGACCUCGCGCGAUUGGAGCGGCCGAUAUCAGAUUAGGUAGUUGGUGGGGUAAAAGCCCACCAAGCCGACGAUCUGUAGCUGGUCUGAGAGGACGACCAGCCACACUGGGACUGAGACACGGCCCAGACUCCUACGGGAGGCAGCAGUGGGGAAUUUUGGACAAUGGGCGCAAGCCUGAUCCAGCAAUGCCGCGUGCAGGACGAAGGCCUUCGGGUUGUAAACUGCUUUUGUACGGAGCGAAACGGUCUGGGUUAAUACCCUGGGCUAAUGACGGUACCGUAAGAAUAAGCACCGGCUAACUACGUGCCAGCCGCCGCGGUAAUUC